AUUGAACGCUGGCGGCAUGCCUUACACAUGCAAGUCGAACGGUAACGGGCCUUCGGGUGCCGACGAGUGGCGAACGGGUGAGUAAUACAUCGGAACGUGCCCGAUCGUGGGGGAUAACGAGGCGAAAGCUUUGCUAAUACCGCAUACGAUCUACGGAUGAAAGCAGGGGACCGCAAGGCCUUGCGCGGACGGAGCGGCCGAUGGCAGAUUAGGUAGUUGGUGGGAUAAAAGCUUACCAAGCCGACGAUCUGUAGCUGGUCUGAGAGGAUGAUCAGACACACUGGGACUGAGACACGGCCCAGACUCCUACGGGAGGCAGCAGUGGGGAAUUUUGGACAAUGGGCGCAAGCCUGAUCCAGCCAUGCCGCGUGCAGGAUGAAGGCCUUCGGGUUGUAAACUGCUUUUGUACGGAACGAAAAGCCUUCUUUUAAUACAGGAGGGUCAUGACGGUACCGUAAGAAUAAGCACCGGCUAACUACGUG
rnacentral:rRNA from 1 species